rnacentral:rRNA from 1 species
UACGUAGGUGGCAAGCGUUGUCCGGAUUUACUGGGCGUAAAGAGCGCGCAGGCGGUCGUUCAAGUCGCGUGUGAAAUCCCCCCGGCUCAACUGGGGAACUGCACAGGAAACUAGCGGGCUUGAAUCCGGGAGAGGAUGCGGAAUUCCAGGUGUAGCGGUGAAAAUGCGUAGAUAUCUGGAGGAACACCGGUGGCGAAGGCGGCAUCCUGGACCGGUAUUGACGCUGAGGCGCGAAAGCCAGGGGGAGCAAACGGG